UCCUCUUCACAUGUAUUGUGACGGUUGAUUCUUUGAGUAAUGAUAUAGAAAUUUCUUUGCCAUCUCUUACAAUUACAUGUGAAGAAAUGGACUUUGUACCUAACUCAACCACAACAUUUAACUCGUGAGGUGCGAAUUUCCAAAAAGCAUAUAAGGAGACAACAAACCAUCCCUCAGCCAAUAUAGGACACUUAAUGAUAUAGAAAUUUUUUUGUCAUCUCUUACACAUGUGAAGAAAUGGACUUUGUACCUAACUCAACCACAACAUUUAAUUCGUGGGGUGAGAAUUUCCAAAGAGCACAUAAGGAGACAACAAACAUUUAACUCGUGACUCGUGAGGUGAGAAUUUCCAAAGAGCACAUAAGGAGACAACAAACAUUUAACUCGUGAGGUGACAAUUUCCAAAGAGCAUAUAAGGAGACAACAA
rnacentral:lncRNA from 1 species